rnacentral:rRNA from 1 species
UACGUAGGGGGCAAGCGUUGUCCGGAUUUAUUGGGCGUAAAGAGCGUGUAGGCGGCUAGAUAGGUCCUCUGUGAAAACUCGAGGCUUAACCUCGAGAUGUCGGUGGAAACCAUCUGGCUAGAGUCCGGAAGAGGAGAGUGGAAUUCCUGGUGUAGCGGUGAAAUGCGCAGAUAUCAGGAGGAACACCCGUGGCGAAAGCGGCUCUCUGGGACGGUACUGACGCUGAGACGCGAAAGCGUGGGGGAGCAAACAGG